UGAACGUGUUAUCUACUUACUUUGAUUUCUAUGCUUUUAAUUAAAUACUUUUUUGUUCAUUUUAGAGAAACCCCGACUACAAGUCCUCCUACAACCUCCGGCUUCACCACUUCUCCUCCUCCCUCCCCCCGGUUCUUAUUUUUUAAAGAUUUCAAAAAGAAACCCCACAACUACAAGUCCUCCUACAACCUCCACUACAACCUCCACCACCUCUGGCUCCACCACUUCUUCCAAUCCCACCCCCUCUCCUCCUCUCCUUGUGUUGGGGUCUGCUGUUUCAGUCGGUGUCCUGGUUCUCCUGGUUCUCCUGGUUCUCCUGGUUCUCCUGGUUCUACUUGUGAGACACAUCCGUAGGAAACCUAAAGCUCAAGCUGAGACUGGAGAUGAUGACGUCACAUACAGUGAUAUCACAAUAUCACGUAACCUGAAACAGCCAAUCAGACGGAGCGGAGAGAGUGAUCCUGCUGCAAUCUCCGGAGUGAGAACAGAAGAUGUCUGUUACGGACAAAUAGUGAUCAAAGACAAGAAAUCAAACAGGAAGAAAGAGAGCGAUCCUGCUGCAAUCCACUCCGGAGUGAAAACAGAAGAAGUCUGUUACGGAGAAAUAGCGAUCAAAGACAAGAAAUCAAACAGGAAGAAAGAGAGUGAUCCUGCUGCAAUCUACUCCGGAGUGAGAACAACAGACGUCAAAGACAAGAAAUCAAACAGGAAGAAAGAGCCUCCAGCAGAGCCAGAGGUCCUCUACUCCUCACUGAGGAAGACCUGAACACCAUCACACCAGUCCAACCAGUGGAGUCCAGCCGGCCAAUCACUGGUCCCCAGAGAUUCUCACAUCUACAUCUGUAUAGCCCCGGCGUAUUUGUCGAAGAUUUUAAACCUUUGCGAGCAUAAAAAGGUCAGUCCGGUCAUCCAAUCAACUGGCUUUAGAAGUCCCAAGGUAGAGGUACAAACUGUGGGGUCAGCCCUAUGUUCCCACAGCCCUAUGUUCCCACAUUUCUAAGAUUUUUCUUAAAAUUAAGGUUAGGGUUACGUUUGCAACAAACAAAGAGAUGGGCGCACCAGAUUUAGCUAAAAGCUACAUUCCAUCUGUAGUCCAUAGCUACUGGAUAAUAAGUUGGGUGUAAUUGGCUACCAAAUUGGGAGAAAGGGGGAUAAAAUCUGAUACAAAUUUAUGAAAAAGGAAAUGUGGGAACAUAGGGCCUAAUUUUGAAAAAAAUCUUGAAUUUGUGGGAACAUAGACCUGUGGGACCAUUGGACUGUGGGAAAAUAGGCACGCUCCCCAAACUGAAGGGGGGUCACUCUUGUUGCAGCUUAGAUUUUAGAACAAGUUACAUUCACACCAUUACAGACGUUGUUCUUUUGAAAUACAAAUUUAAAACUUUAUUUAGAAUGGCUUUUAAUGCACAGUAGCGUUGCAGCAUUAUCUCUUUAUUUCUCCUGUUUCUAUGCAACAGUUUCAGAUUUUACUGUAUUUUAUGUUUUAUUCAUUUUAUUGUAUGGUAUGUUGUUUUAUUCUUGGUCCUUCAAGCACUUUGGAUACCUGUUGGUUGCUGUGAAGCACUUUAAGAAUAAAUGUUGAUUGAUGUUAAUGCAGCUAGAAAGAGACAAUCAACUCACAUUUUAAGCAUGUUUGCAUUCUUUAGAUGCGUUUCGUUCAAACAAAUACUUAUUUAAGUCAUAGAUUUGUUCCUCUGUAAGUGUUUCAUACGUUGCACAACAACCAACAAAUAUCUACUGAACAGAGUCUAAUGAUAAUAACUAUUUACUGAUAUUUAUUUUGUAUUUAUGAGCUUGUUUCUGUGCAGGAUCAUUAAACUCUGG
rnacentral:lncRNA from 1 species